AAGGUCAACUUCCCUUCCCUGUUGGCUGAGGAUCCAGGUUCUUGGAGCCCCACUGUAGAAAGACUGCUGAUAUCCCAGAAUUCCAAGGUGGAUGUGCAGAUGAGAUUUCCAGUGACACCCAGCAGACUUCACGCAGAAGGUGGCAUAGUGUAGAGACGGGGCAUUCAUGCUUUACCCUUAGAGAGGCGUUGCUUUGAAUCUGCAUCUGCCCCUUCUUUUGCCUUUGCCCCUACAGAUUCAGGACCACGGCCAGCACCCACACUGCCUUCCGUAAACACUGAGCUAAAUAAACCUAGAGCCUUGGUGAUGAGAUCAGCACUGCCUUUGUAAGUUGGUUUUCUCAACAAACAUCAACUGAACAUCUACUAAACGUAAGAGCACUCUGGCUGUCAACUGAAAACAGCAGCAGCAGCAGCAGCAGCAGCAACACCACCACCAACAACAACGACAACUGUUGCAUAUAUAACUGAAGAUCCACAGAGUCCCUCUUUCCAGUGUUAGUUGCUACAAGGAGUGAGAGAAUGAAGAUCUGACCUCAAGGAAUACAAGAGUUUUGUUCAAAGUUCCAAGACUAAGCUAUUAGAAGGGAGGGAGGGCCUGGUGCCAUGUCAUCUCUGACCAAGAGAAUUGGUAGAAUAGAAAUAAUCUAUUUCUCACGUGGUCUAGGACUUGACAAUUUACAUAGCAGUUUUAUAUCCUCUACUUCAUUUGACAUGCUCCCAUCACCCUG
rnacentral:lncRNA from 10 species